CUGCAAGGGAAAACAUAUGUUUUUUUCAGGGCUGUGACCUAAACUUCACCCCUAUCUAAGCAAUCUCUCUCUCUCUCUCUUAUUUCUCUUCUCAGUUCUCACCCAACAUGAGCUACACCCACUGCUUCAAUUCUCCAUAUGGGGUGGCUGCAUUCUCUCCUCUCUCCAUUAAACAAGCUUUGGAUCCAUCUGCACUCACCUCCUAAUAAGAGGAGAGGGAUAUAUAUCCUAUACGAGGAUGUCAAGUCCUGUCCAUACGAAGAUGUUCAUGUGCUUUGGUCCAUACUGGUGGAGUCGCACCAACCAUCCAGAUGAGGCUUAAAUAUACCCACAAGAAUGCAGCAAUUCAUCAUCACCAUGCAUGUAAAUAUGUAAUUUCUACAAGAUUCAACCUUUUACUUAUUUCCUGAGUUUCAAUCUGUACUGAGCGAGGCCACCAUAGGAAUAUAUCCUCUUAAAUUAUAACAGCUUACUUUUUCAAUUAUUGUAACUUGUAAUCUUAAUAUUCCUCUUCAUCCACUAAACGCCAUAUCACCCUAUUUAAAUAGUCAGAGAAAUAUGAUAUAUAGAUUUUGCUCUUCUUGUAUAGAUAAUAGAUCAGAAUAGAAGAGUUCCCCUAAUGUGAUUGGCAUCUCCUUGUCUCACUUGUUUCUACUGUCACACUGUUUGUUAGCCAUGAAAGUUAAAAUAUUGGGAAAAAACAAUUCAGAUGUAAUCUGCGCUCUUUUUUGAUCAAUAAGGAAUGUGAUUACUUGAA